AAUUGAUACUGGCGUAAUUUUACCAUAUCAAACUCGUUGCCUAAAUCCUCCUCUAUUAAAGCAUCUUCCUCAUCUUGAUCAGACUCAUUGUUAUCAAAACCAAAUUUUUGAGCCUCAUGCAAUUCGGCGCUAGAAGGUUGAUUGUCAGCUGGAGUAAAUAUAUCACGUGGAGGACCCUGAACAUGUUCCGCAGCCAUUCUGGAUUUUCCAAAUUCACUGGGAUAAAUCGACACUUUCAGUAACUUCCCACCAGGAGGACAAAAAGAAGAAAGAGCAACAAAAAGAUCAACUGCUUGAAGAUUAUCCCAAUCCAUGUUUACUACAGCAAGACGGUUAGUUUCUGAACCACGAGGAAUAUUCUCUUCUGGCUCGAUUCCAGCUAAUUCGGAUAUCUCCGGUUGAGCUUCAGUUUCACUUUCAGCGUCGCUUUCAUCGCUACUUUCCGAAGUACUAAUAAUUCCCUCACCACGAGCUGGAUCAUAUACUUCCUCAUCUUCGGACUCCUCAUCGGUUAAUUCUUCCGAUUUUGUGGAUUUCGAAGACGCUGAAGCGACUUCUUCGUUGUCAGUAAUUUCCGAUGAUUCAGACGAACUGGACGACCCUUCAUUUUCCAGUUCAUACAGUCUAUCAAUCUCUUUAGUAGCCUUAUCUUGGUUGAGAGGACGGCCAUAUCGAUCAACACUGGCAGUAGUUUUAAAGUCCUUAUCCUCCUUGAGAGAUUUAAACCGCUCAUCAACUUUUACUUUAAAAUUGCCACGUUUAAGUCUAGAAAAUCUAGGAUCAGAGUGAACUGAUUGAAAUCUAGGAUCCGCAACUACGUUGCUUUCACUCCUUGAUUUAGCAUUAAUAGGCUUCGUCUGCUUUUUGCCC